rnacentral:rRNA from 1 species
AACGAACGCUGGCGGCAGGCUUAACACAUGCAAGUCGAACGCCCCGCAAGGGGAGUGGCAGACGGGUGAGUAACGCGUGGGAACAUACCCUUUUCUACGGAAUAGCUCUGGGAAACUGGAAUUAAUACCGUAUACGCCCUACGGGGGAAAGAUUUAUCGGGGAAGGAUUGGCCCGCGUUGGAUUAGCUAGUUGGUGGGGUAAAGGCCUACCAAGGCGACGAUCCAUAGCUGGUCUGAGCGGAUGAUCAGCCACAUUGGGACUGAGACACGGCCCAAACUCCAACGGGAGGCAGCAGUGGGGAAUAUUGGACAAUGGGCGCAAGCCUGAUCCAGCCAUGCCGCGUGAGUGAUGAAGGCCUUAGGGUUGUAAAGCUCUUUCACCGAUGAAGAUAAUGACGGUAGUCGGAGAAGAAGCCCCGGCUAACUUCGUGCCAGCCGCCGCAGUAACAC